GAGGAUAUAGCUCAGUGGUAGAGUGCCUACCUAGCAUGCAUGAGGUCCUGGACUCAAUCUCCAGUACCUUCA
rnacentral:tRNA from 1 species